rnacentral:tRNA from 1 species
GCGCCCGUAGCUCAGCCGGAUAGAGCGGUUGGCUUCGAACCAACAGGUCGGGAGUUCGAGCCUCUCCGGGCGCGCCA